rnacentral:rRNA from 1 species
CCUACGGGAGGCAGCAGUGAGGAAUAUUGGUCAAUGGGCGCGAGCCUGAACCAGCCAAGUAGCGUGAAGGAUGACUGCCCUACGGGUUGUAAACUUCUUUUAUAAAGGAAUAAAGUGAGGCACGUGUGCCUUUUUGUAUGUACUUUAUGAAUAAGGAUCGGCUAACUCCGUGCCAGCAGCCGCGGUAAUACGGAGGAUCCGAGCGUUAUCCGGAUUUAUUGGGUUUAAAGGGAGCGUAGAUGGGUUGUUAAGUCAGUUGUGAAAGUUUGCGGCUCAACCGUAAAAUUGCAAUUGAUACUGGCAGGCUAGAGUACAGUUGAGGUAGGCGGAAUGCGUGGUGUAGCGGUGAAAUGCUUAGAUAUCACGAAGAACUCCGAUUGCGAAGGCAGCUUACUAAACUGCCACUGACAUUGAUGCUCGAAGGUGUGGGUAUCAAACAGGAUUAGAUACCCCGGUAGUC